CCUACGGUGGCUGCAGUGGGGAAUAUUGCACAAUGGGCGCAAGCCUGAUGCAGCCAUGCCGCGUGUGUGAAGAAGACCUUCGGGUUGUAAAGCACUUUCAGCGGGGAGGAAGGCGGUGAGGUUAAUAACCUCAUCGAUUGACGUUACCCGCAGAAGAAGCACCGGCUAACUCCGUGCCAGCAGCCGCGGUAAUACGGAGGGUGCAAGCGUUAAUCGGAAUUACUGGGCGUAAAGCGCACGCAGGCGGUCUGUCAAGUCGGAUGUGAAAUCCCCGGGCUCAACCUGGGAACUGCAUUCGAAACUGGCAGGCUAGAGUCUUGUAGAGGGGGGUAGAAUUCCAGGUGUAGCGGUGAAAUGCGUAGAGAUCUGGAGGAAUACCGGUGGCGAAGGCGGCCCCCUGGACAAAGACUGACGCUCAGGUGCGAAAGCGUGGGGAGCAAACAGGAUUAGAUACCCGAGUAGUC
rnacentral:rRNA from 1 species